rnacentral:rRNA from 1 species
GACGAACGCUGGCGGCGUGCUUAACACAUGCAAGUCGAACGAUGAAGCUGGAGCUUGCUCUGGUGGAUUAGUGGCGAACGGGUGAGUAACACGUGAGUAACCUGCCCUGGACUCUGGGAUAACCCCGAGAAAUCGCAGCUAAUACCGGAUAGGACCUCGGAUCGCAGGAUCCGGGGUGGAAAGUCUUUCGGUCUGGGAUGGACUCGCGGCCUAUCAGCUUGUUGGUGAGUGAAUGGCUCGCCAAGGCGUCGACGGGUAGCCGGCCUGAGAGGGUGACCGGCCACACUGGGACCGAGACACGGCCCAGACUCCUACGGGAGGCAGCAGUGGGGAAUAUUGCACAAUGGGCGCAAGCCUGAUGCAGCAACGCCGCGUGCGGGAUGACGGCCUUCGGGUUGUAAACCGCUUUUAGUAAGGAAGAAGCCGCAAGGUGACGGUACUUGCAGAAAAAGGACCGGCUAACUACGUGCCAGCCGCCGCGGUAAAAC